rnacentral:lncRNA from 1 species
AGCAAACUUGAAGGUAUGGAUAAGGCCCUGAGUCAUCUUCCUGAGCUGAAUGAUAGUUAAGCUGAAUUAACAAUUUGGACAAGACAGCAAAUGCUAUUGUCCAAGUUUUCUAAAGAAGAAUCUGAAGUGAAAUGACAUCAAGAGACCUAUCAAGACCUGUAUCCAGGAAAAGACCAAACCAAUGCAGACCAAACCAAUGCAGAACUCCUAUGUGCUGAUGGUGGUCUUACAUUUCCCUAAGUUUCUGCCGACUAAACUGUGCACACGUUCUCAGGACCUCCUGAAGCUGCGUCACAGGCACUAAUCAAAGAACACAACCAAGAGUUUGGCCUUUUCUUCAGCACUGGGAAUUGUGAUCCAAAGCUUUUCCUGAUGAAGCACAAAGUUGGAGAAAAAAAACGCAAACUAAACAACAACAAUGAAACAGAACAGAGUGAAUCUGCUGUAGCUCAAGAGAGGACGUAGCUGCCCCCACUCCGCAUCCCCGGGCUCGGGUUUGCCUUGCUGACCUCUGCUGCCACCUGGUGCCGCACAGAGAAACUGAGGAGAAACCACAUCAGUCUCCUUCAGCCUCAGCUUCACAUCUGUGGGUCAAGUAACCCUUUCAGAAGCUGAAUAAUGUGGGAAAGCUUUCCUCUCAGGAAAAUGCACACAUCCAACUUUGAGAAGAUGCCCUUGGGGGCGCUUCAAGGAUUCUAGAUAAUAACCCCCUUUCCCGAACAUCCAAGAACCUAAGAUUUUUUUUUUUUUUUUGAGAAAGUCUCGCUCUCUCUCCCAGUCUGGAGUGCAGUGGCGUGAUCUUGGCUCACUGCCAGCUCCACCUCCCAGGUUCACGCCAUUCUCCUGCUUCAGCCUCCCUAGUAGCUGGGGCUACAGGCACCUGCCACCAAACCCGGCUAAUUUUUUUGUAUUUUUAGUAGAGACGGGGUUUCACCGUGUUAGCCAGGAUCGUCUUGAUCUCCUGACCUUGUGAUCCACCCGCCUCGGCCUCCCAAAUUGCUGGGAUUACAGAUGUGAGCCACCGCACCUGGUCCAAGAGCCCAAGUUUUAGAUCUAGAGUGAUGUCAGCAUGACAUUGAUUUCCUGAGGCCCAGGGGCGAAGGAGCUGAGGACAGCAGAGGGGUGAAGGAACUCAGCUACAGACAGCAGCAGCUGAUGCACAGGCCUCCCAGCGCCUGAAGUCACCCGGAAUUGGGAAGUGCUCAGAAGCUUACAAAGCUGCCUCGAGGUGGGAACAUGACAUAAAUCCAAGAGCAGAUCCCUGAUCCUAUAAAAAUGUACUAGAUGCAGUGGGGGCAUUUUAAAUGAGCAGAGAAGGACAGACAGAUAAACAGAAGGACAAACAGUAUUGGGAUUGGGAUAAAUGCUCAGCUUUUGCCCAAAUCUUAGUGACUUAAGCAUCACUUAUUUGCUCACGAUUCUGUGGCUGGACCAUUUGGUUUGGCUCACAGGGCAGGGACUGUGCUGGUCUUACCUGAGCAGACCUGCAUGUCUGCGGUCAACUGGGUUGGCAGAGACAGAGUGACUGUCUUCCUCCAGGAAGCAGCAGGUUAACUGGUUGGCAGAGACAGAGGGACAGAGGGACUGUCUUCCUCCAGGAAGCAGCAGGUUAACUGGUUGGCAGAGACAGAGGGACUGAGGGAUUGUCUUCCUCCAGGAAGCAGCAGGUUAACUGGUUGGCAGAGACAGAGGGACAGAGGGACUGUCUUCCUCCAGGAAGCAGCAGGUUAACUGGUUGGCAGAGACAGAGGGACUGAGGGACUGUCUUCCUCCAGGAAGCAGCAGGUUAACUGGUUGGCAGAGACAGAGGGACAGAGGGACUGUCUUCCUCCAGGAAGCAGCAGGUUAACUGGUUGGCAGAGACAGAGGGACUGAGGGACUGUCUUCCUCCAGGAAGCAGCAGGUUAACUGGUUGGUAGAGACAGAGGGACUGAGGGACUGUCUCCCCCCAGGAAGCAGCAGGUUGGCUCUGUUUCCUUCGUGGGGCAGCUGGUCUCCAGGGCAGCAAGAGAGACCAAGCCCCAGUGCACAUUCUACAGCCUCUGUGCACAUCAGACUUGUUAAUAUCCCAUUGGCCAGUGUAAGUCACAUGGCCAAGCCCAGAUUAAGGAGUGGAAAGAUGGAGGCUAUCUCCUCCUGGGAGAGGAGGCCAAGGAGGUGGGAGUAUUAUGUGGCCACUUAUGUUUGCAAUCUACCAUAAUUAGCACUUUGAGAAAAGAAUUAACUGAGAAACUUGCUUCAAAUAGGGCAUUCAGUAAAAUGAAGCCCCAAUUGAAGUAAAAUGCAUAUAUAAAAAAUGAAACUGUGACCGAUUUUAAGGACAGUAUUGGCAAAUAUUUCUGUGCUCUUGGAGGAGAAGACCCUUAUUGGCAUGACAUGUCAGAAACCACAAUGAAAGAAUUAUUUUAACUUGCAUUCAUAAAAAUUAAAAUUAUUCAUUAAAAACAUCGUGAAUGAAAUUAAAAGUCAAAAUGUAAGCCAGAAAAUUAUUUACAAUGUAUGUGUCAGGAAAAGACAAUACCCUUCAAACUUUGAGAGUUUACAUCAGAAAGAAAACAGCAAAUGACAUGAUCCAAACUUGAUAAAGGACAUGAAAAAGAGCCAGCACUUAGUAUGUUUUCUGAAUGAAUAAGUAGCCAACAGCACAUGAAAAUGCGUGUAAUCCAUUUGUAAGCAGAGAAAUGCAAACUAAAACAGUAAAGUGUCAUUUUCAUUUCCUGGAUUGGCAAAGGGUUUUAUGUAUUUUACUGAUAGUGCUCAAUAUUAGCAGUAAACAACAAAUGGUGAGUAAAUAUGAGCUUCGGAACCUCAGGGAAAUGAUCUCCUUAUUUCAACCUGUAGAUUCCUUCCUACAACCAGUGUCUACAGAGCACCUACUAUGUGCCAGGCACAGCCUAAGUCCUGAAGGUGUAGUCUCCACUGAGAAGGUGAUAUUUGCACAAAGACCUGAAAGACAGGAGUGAACUGUGUGGAUAACUGUGGGUACCCCUACAGGCAGAGGAGUAGCAAUGUGGGUCCCAAGGUGGGACCACAUCAGACAUGUUCGAGGACUAGCUGAGGGAGAGAGGUGGGAGGUCAGAGGAGAUGGGGGCCGGCUCUGCUGGCCAUCACGAGCACUCUGGGUGCAGAGGGCGAGAGGUGGAAGGUCAGAGGAGAUGGGGGCCGGCUUUGCUGGCCAACACGAGCACUCUGGGUGCUGAGGGCGAGAGGUGGGAGGUCAGAGGAGAUGGGGGCUGGCUCUGCUGGCCGUCACGAGCACUCUGGGUGCUGAGGGCAAGAGGUGGGGAGGAGGUCAGAGGAGAUGGGGGCUGGCUCUGCCGGCCAACACGAGCACUCUGGGUUUUCCUCCAAAUGCUAUGAGAGCAGGGGAGUAACCUGGUCUGACUUGGGUGUGAGCAGAUCUCUCUGGUUGUUGUUCUGGAAAAAACUGAGGUGCCCACGUGAAAGCAGAGAUCGGUUAGGAGGCUGCUGCAGCAAUUCAGGCAAAAAUGGGUGGCGGGCCUCGGGUGUAGUGGAGGAGAAGCGAUCGGAUUUUGGAUAUUUGUAGCUCCCCCAAUACGAUUUCCUGGAGAAGGAGAUGACUUCAAUCUUCUGGCCUGAGUAGCUGAAAGGAUGAAGCUGUCCUUCGUGGAGGUGGGGAAUCCACAGAGAAGCGGGUAGGGAGAGAGUAUCAGGAGCUCAGUGUUAGCCAUGGAUGUUCGAGGGGAGGUAUUGAGCAGCUGAUAGAGACACAGGCCUGUGGUCCCAGGAAAAGGUCUGGGGGUCACUAGCCCAUGGAUGGAGUCACAGGCUGCAUAGACUGCAGGAAAGCGAAGGUGGAGAGAGAAGAGCAGAGUACCAGGAUGGACCAUUGAGCACCCUGGUGUUGAGAGCAAGUGGCCUCUAGUCAGAGUUGGGUCAGGGCCACUGUGAGUGGGCUGCCCCCAACAUGAGUCGGCUGUCUAGGACUAGUUUAUCUCUGCUUCUCACUUUACUGGUAUUAUGGGGCAGCUCCUGCUGUCUUCCAAUUUGGUGUUUGUAAAAUGAGACAUAAAAAGCAGGUGACAAGGAUACCAGGAAGUGCACAGGUCUGAGUGGAGUAUGGGGCUGUCUCCAGGGGAGAGGUGGCUGUUUGGAGGGAAGGGUGACAAUGGAUAAUCAGGGUCCAUGGGCAUCCCUGCUUGUUUUGGAGCCAUGGACACUCAAAUAAUGUGAUUUUAUGAGGCUAUUGGAGAAAAAAUUGGCCACAGGGCCAAGAGGGCUGGGAGGACCCCAGCUCUCCGACUGGUGUUUGCUUCUCUGCCAUCAGGGUCGGGAGGCCAUGCCAAGCAUUGUGAUUUGCAGAGUCCAUGAGACAGGAACACUCCCACCACAGUGACCUGCCUCUGCACACAGCCAGAAUGUAGCUGACUCCUUUCUUCUCCCACUUGCAUGCUUCCAAGCCUUCAAAACAUACUCAUCUCCAUGUUCUGUGAAUUAGCAAUUUUUAAAAAAAUAAAAAAAUAAACAAACUCAUCUCUGAA